UCUAAAGCAAGCUACGAUGUUCAUGACUAUUUCCUUCUACGACAAACAAAAGUUUUCAUAUUAUAUUAAUUCAAAACCAAAAAUAUUAAAUUUUACAAUCAACUAAUCACACACAAAGCGACAAGCUAAGAAUUUAAAUCGAUGAACUUCAAGUUUUAAAUGUCAACAUGUUUAAAAAUGAAAAAUGACGGACAACAUUAGAAAAUUACCCUUUCAUAUCAUUAUUGCAAGUUCCGACAGGACAAUUUAUAAAGUAAAACAGAGACAUAUUAAUGACGAAAAGUAUAAACACAUUCGAUCUAGCUACUUACAACACAGAUGAAACAACAUAAUUCAUAAAUAUCAACAACUACUAUGAUCCAAUUAAUUUUAUCAUGCUAUACUUUAUAGAACAAAUAGAGUAGUGAGAAAGAGUAAUAAGUGAGCUAAAUAGCAGUAAAGAAGAAAGAAGAAAUGUGAACUUUUAUUGCUGAAUUUUCUACGUAACAAAUGAGCGUGCAACAACACGCAAAUGAGCUACUAAUUAGAAACUUCGAAACGGAAUCUCGACGGAAAAUCGCGACUGAACAAACACCUCGAACCACGACCGUGACGGACCUUCAAACUUGAACGUUUCAGGUGAUUUGAGGAUGGAUUGGGGACUGUUGGUGGUCGUAUGGCUGAUUAAGAAGAAGCAUGGAGAGGAUUUUGUUCCUCACUGUAUAUAGAGUGUCUCUCCAGUGUAUGCCCCCGUCUCCGUUAAGAAGAAUCCAUCCCCUUUUUUAGUUUUUCUCCCUAUUUUUUUUUAACUUCUCCCUCUUUGAACCUCUCCUACUUCUCCCUUUUCAGAAUGAGGAGGUUCCCCUUUUUUAGAAUUCUCACUCACUCCCUCUCUCUUUCCCCAAAAACCCUCUCCAAAAUGUUUUGCCCUCUUUUUUCCACUCCAACCCAGAUACCACUAAGAGAUAUGGAUAUAUCUUUUUUGGUAAAGUUGGGGUCCGAAAUUAUCUUCUUUUCCAGUGUAUAUCUAUAGUAUAUCGAUUGGAUAUAAGGUGUAUACAGAGGCGCUGAUUUUCAGCUGCUUUUUCUUUUUUAUCCCCCCUCUCUUUAUCCACUCUCUAGUCUCUAAAUAUGCAUCAAAUUAGUGCAUUUCCCACUACAAUUAUAAUUUUAACUUCUUUAAUUAUCCACUAGUUAGUGUUAUUAUUUAAUUUUCAUUAGUGUUAGUUUUACCCUACCAAUAUAGAAGCUUCCUAAAUUAGGUAAAUACCUUUUUUAUUUUUUUUAUAAAUAAAUCCAAA
rnacentral:lncRNA from 1 species